AUUGAACGCUGGCGGCAUGCCUAACACAUGCAAGUCGAACAGUAACAGGGGCUUCGGCCCGCUGACGAGUGGCGGACGGGUGAGUAACGCGUAGGAAUCUACCUAGUAGCGGGGGGAUAGCUCGGGGAAACUCGGAUUAAUACCGCAUACGCCCCCUUUCAUUUUGACUGGGGGGAAAGCAGGGGACCUUCGGGCCUUGCACUAUUGGAUGAGCCUACGUCUGAUUAGCUAGUUGGUAGGGUAAAGGCCUACCAAGGCGACGAUCAGUAGCUGGUCUGAGAGGACGAUCAGCCACACUGGGACUGAGACACGGCCCAGACUCCUACGGGAGGCAGCAGUGGGGAAUAUUGGACAAUGGGCGAAAGCCUGAUCCAGCAAUGCCGCGUGUGUGAAGAAGGCCUGCGGGUUGUAAAGCACUUUCGGCAGGGAAGAAAUGCUUAGAGAUAAUACCUCUAAGUCUUGACGUCACCUGCAGAAGAAGCACCGGCUAACUCCGUGCCAGCAGCCGCGGUAAUACGGAGGGUGCGAGCGUUAAUCGGAAUUACUGGGCGUAAAGCGCGCGUAGGCGGUUUGGCAAGUCGGAUGUGAAAGCCCUGGGCUUAACCUGGGGAAUUGCAUUCGAGACUGCCUGGCUAGAGU
rnacentral:rRNA from 1 species